rnacentral:rRNA from 1 species
UACGUAGGGGGCAAGCGUUGUUCGGAAUUACUGGGCGUAAAGGGCGCGUAGGCGGUCCUUUAAGUCUGAUGUGAAAUCCCCCGGCUCAACCGGGGAGGUGCAUCGGAUACUGGGGGACUUGAGUACGGGAGAGGAAAGUGGAAUUCCAGGUGUAGCGGUGAAAUGCGUAGAUAUCUGGAGGAACACCGGUGGCGAAGGCGGCUUUCUGGACCGUAACUGACGCUGAGGCGCGAAAGCGUGGGGAGCAAACAGG